AUUGAACGCUGGCGGCAGGCCUAACACAUGCAAGUCGAGCGCGCGGCGGACGGGUGAGUAAUUUAUGUGGAAUGCCCGAUAGAGAGGGUUAACUCCUGUAAACGGUGGCGAAUACAGCAUAUUGUCGUAUAACCCAUAUGGGAUUAGCUAGUAGGUAAGGUAAUGGCUUACCUCGUCGACGAUCCCUAGCUGGUCUGAGAGGAUGAGCAGCCACACUGGGACUGAGACACGGCCCAGACUCCUACGGAGGCAGCAGUGGGGAAUAGUGCACAAUGGGCGCAAGCCUGAUGCAGCCAUGCCGCGUGUAUGAAGAAGGCCCUAGGGUUGUAAAGUACUUUCAGUCGGGAGGCGUUACCGACAGAAGAAGCACCGGCUAACUCCGUGCCAGCAGCCGCGGUAAUUC
rnacentral:rRNA from 1 species